AUUGAACGCUGGCGGCAGGCCUAACACAUGCAAGUCGAACGAGUGGCGGACGGGUGAGUAAUGUGUGGGACACUGCCUGAUGGAGGGGGAUACCUACUGGAAACGGUAGCUAAUACCGCAUACCAUCAGAGGUGCCCAGAUGGGAUUAGCGAGUUGGUGGGGUAACGGCUCACAAAGGGGACGCUACCUAGCUGGUCUGAGAGGAUGACAAGCCACACUGGAACUGAGACACGGUCCAGACUCCUACGGGAGGCAGCAGUAGGGAAUAUUGCACAAUGGGCGAAAGCCUGAUGCAGCCAGGCCGCGUGUAUGAAGAAGGCCUUCGGUUUGUAAAGUACUUUCAGCGGGGAGGCGUUACCCGCAGAAGAAGCACCGGCUAACUCCGUGCCAGCAGCCGCGGUAAUUC
rnacentral:rRNA from 1 species